GUAAAAUUCCAUUUAUUCCCCUGGAUAUCUCUCUGUUAUUUUGCUUUUUCUUAAAUGUUGUUCUCAUAAUCUCAUUAUUUUUCUUUUUAGUAUAAUGCACAAGGAAGAUUUUGGCAUAAAUUAUGAUCUGUUAGUGUUGUUAUUGGAUUAUAAUUAAAUCAGUCAAAAGGAGAGCCUGUGGUUCAUGUAAAACUGUUGAUGGCUGGAUGUAUUAAUGGUCAACCUAAGCUAGAAAGAUAAAGGUAUUACAAUCUGGGUUUGUUCCAGGGUCUGAAUAUUGUGCUAGAAAGUUUUAAGCCUUCUAAAAUUAUGCUGUAUUUUAUUGACAUGACGUAAUAAAAUGAAUAAGUGAUUGCAGUUUCUUCUCUCUGAGUGAUUUCAUAAAUGAUGUUGAAA
rnacentral:misc_RNA from 1 species